rnacentral:lncRNA from 1 species
ACAAACUAGAGGCUCUAAAGAGCCUGUGUCGCUCACCUUGGUCUAUGUGAAUAUUAAACAAUGGACACAGAUGGAUUCAUGACAAAAUUGUGUUUUGGUGAUGGUGAUGUGUUUGUAGAUCUUACUUUACUUAACAUUCUUGCUGCUUACAAUUAUCUCUAUCUAUAACAGUACUUUCUGUGGAAAAUGUUAUUGAAAAUCUUCAAAUUUUAAGAAAAUUGUUAAAAAUUGAAUAUGAAGGGCAAUAACUCCUUAGGCGGUCAAUUGACUAUUUUGGUCAUACUGACUUAUUUUUAGUUCUUACUUUGCUGUACAUUAUUGCUGUUUACAGUUUAUCUCUAUCUAUAAUAAUAUUCAAGAUAAUAACAAAAAAACAGCAAAAUUUCCUCAAAAUUACCAAUUCAGGGGCAGCAACCUAUUACAACCGAUUAUCCGAUUCAUCUGAAAAUUCCAGGGCAGAUAGAUCGUGACCUGAUCAACAAUUUUACUUCCUGUCAGAUUUGCUCUUAAUGCUUUGGUUUUUGAGUUAUAAGCAAAAAACUGCAUUUAACCCCCAUGUUCUAUUUUUAGCCAUGGUGGCCAUCUUGGUUUGUUGGCCGAGUAACCGGACACAUUUUUUUAACUAGAUACCCCAAUGAUGAUUAUGGCUAAGUUUGGUUAAAUUUGGCCCAGUAGUUUCAGAAAAGAUUUUUCUAAAAGAUUACUAAGAUUUACGAAAAAUGGUUAAAAAUUGACUAUAAAGGGCAAUGUCUCCUAAAGUGGUCAACUGACCAUUUUGGUCAUGUUGACUUAUUUGU